rnacentral:lncRNA from 10 species
CAGGGUCUGGCUGUUUUCUAGGCUGGAGUGCAGUGGUGCAAUUAUAGAUCACUGUAGCCCUGACCUCCUGACCUCAAGCAAUCCUCCUACCUCCACCUCCCAAAGUAAUGGAAUUACAGUUGGGAACCGCCACACCUGAUCCACUUUCUUGAUGGUUGUGGGUGACAAGAAGGAGAGAAGAAAGAAGCAGAGAAGAGCUGCAGCCCUUUGGGGAUCUCAGGCCUAGUAGCUCCGCAAACGAGGGUUGUGACACCCUCCUUGGUGCUCUGUGGUUCCUGGAAUCCACAAGCUUCCAGGUACCACAACAUUCCCCAGUGCCAGCCGUGGAAGCUGCUUGUGGUACGCCUGAUCCAGCCAUGGCCUCAUAGGGAGCUGGCACCCAUUCUGUUGCCUGGAGCUGCUGUGCCAAUGUAACCAGUGUGCCUGGCUGUGCACAGUGGCCAGACCCCAUGCUCGCUCACCCACCCUUCGCCAAUCCAUACCUGACUCACCCAUGGCAGGCAUGCAGUCCAGGUCGGUAACAUCAGCUGAGUGCAGCCUGCUAGGCCGAGUGGAUGGAAUGAGCCCAGCAGGCCAGAGUAAAACUCAGGCAAAGGUACCACUGGCCACAGAGGUUUCUGGCUGGCAAAGCGACACCCCAAGGAUCCUGUAACAUAGUGUGGGUAAAAAUCAUAUAAUGCUAGAAGGAAUUUGGUUAUAAAGAACAGGCAUUUAUUUUCUCUGUGGAAACAUAUCUCACACAGCUAGAGACUCAAAGCAGAUAAAUCAGAGAAGACUUGUAAAAUUAUGCUAUAAGGCAUUUCUUCCAUUAGGGAUACUUGAUAUAGCUUGAGAAAACCAAAUAUGUAAUUUAUUUGGUUUACUGUAGGAUCUAAAUUUAUUAAUUUAGUGUAGGAUCUUACUAUACAAGUAAAAUUUUUAAGCUUGCAUGUCUGGUCUUUAUGUUCCAUUUGUUUUGUUUUCCUGUGUAUUUUUGUUGGCAGUAUGAAGGUCUAUUUAUAGUUCCAUUAGUCUUCUUCUAAUGUUAUUAAAUGUUGGCUGGUUCUAAAUGGUCUUUAAUUAUCCCUCAAAUUAUUUUAUCAUGGGGUCCUCAACUAACUUGUUAUGUACAAACUUUUGUGAAAUUAAUAUAUGAUUUUCUAUGCAAGAGUUAGGUAUUUUAAUAAAUUUUUUAUCCCAGUGGUAUUAUAUGGAAUGGCUGAAACAAAAAUGUUUUGCCUAAAGUUGGUUUUUUGGUAAUACAAGAUUUAAAAAUAAAAAAAGAGUUAAGACUCCUCUUCAGUGAACUAAUAAAUGAAGGAUGUAGACAA